GUAGUUAGCCGGGGCUUCCUCCUUGGCUACCGUCACUUUCUUCGUCACCAAGGACAGAGGUUUACAAUCCGAAAACCUUCUUCCCUCACGCGGCGUUGCUGGGUCAGGCUUGCGCCCAUUGCCCAAUAUUCCUCACUGCUGCCUCCCGUAGGAGUCUGGACCGUGUCUCAGUUCCAGUGUGGCCGAUCAGCCUCUCAGCUCGGCUACCCAUCGCUGGCAUGGUGGGCCGUUACCCCGCCAUCUACCUAAUGGGACGCGAACCCCUCCCAAAGCGGAUUGCUCCUUUGACCCCUUCGCCAUGUGACGUUGUGGUCUUAUGCGGUAUUAGCACUUGUUUCCAGGUCGUUAUCCCCCUCUUUGGGUCAGGUUGUUCACGCGUUACUCACCCGUUCGCCACUAAAGCAACAACCGAAAUCAUUGCUUCCGUUCGACUUGCAUGUGUAAGGCACGCCGCCAGCGUUCGUCCUGAGCCAUGAUCAAACUCUGA
rnacentral:rRNA from 1 species